UCUCCAAAGUACAGCCCUCCUUCCCCAGGAUGGGGCGGAUCAGUCAGGGCCUGUGAUCCUCCUUUUGUCUUCUCUCCUCAGGCAGGGCUGCUCCUGACGUAGGUUGGUCGGGGAGAGGAAAGAAAGGCAGCAGCGGAGCACCUCACAAAGGCACUAUUGUAGGGAGCCUGAGGCGGGAGGGGGCUCUCUCCCAUUCAAUUCUCUCCUAAUGUGGGGCUGGCAACAGUAAUCACCGCCUGUCAGCCCAUAGAGGGGUCUGCCCACGGAACAUCUGGCUGCAAUGCGGGGCACAUAGGAGGGCUGUGGAGGAGGGAGCUCUCUGUGGAGGCCUUGAGAGCAGGACCAGGGGAUGGAAGGUCCCAAGGCAUGAAACAUCCUAACUCUCGGAAAGGGCUCUUAGGGAUCAUCUGCUUUGAUUCCCCCAUCCACAGAGCCUUUUGAGGGCAGGGACCGUGUUUCAUCUGUCUUUCUAGCCCUGGGGUUCAGACAGAGUCAGGUGCAUUCCGGCGUGAGUGGUGUUUUGUAAAUGACUUGAUGACCAGCUCCCAGUGACACAGUCACAACUUAACUUCUCUUGACGACUCAGUUAUUGCCAAGUUCAAUUACUGGACUGUGCCGCCAUGCCAAAACGCCAUCAGAACCAAUUAGGCCGUGCGGAAUGUAGCUGCGUCUGCUUCUCUGCUCUGUGUUUGCCCUGGCCUCUCUCGCUGUCACCUGGCAGCUCUCCCUGUAAUCGGGAGAUGAACUCUGAGGGAUCCGGCUCACUGUUGUAAAGCAGCUGUCCACUCUAGUCUGCAGCAGAACAGAAGCCAGGAGGAUUUGAAAGAUUGAGAGCUGACGCGUGUGCCAGGUGCCUUUGUUGAUCACACGAAGGAUGGCAGAGCUUUCCAGAGACAAAGACACCACCUGUUUAAAGCUGGGACUCAACAUCCUCUGGUCCACCCCUUCCCACCUUCAAGCCAUGGAAAUGUAUCCUAGCUGGCACACCCCGUCUGGUUCCUUCUGCGUGUGGUAUUCAUUUACUCUUGACUUAUGAGGCAGGAGCAUGUUUUAUGAUGGUAGUGGCUGAGGACACAAUGGUUUCUGGUCCCUGGAAUUGCUACUCAGUGACCUGGAUUUGUAGGCAUCUUUCCCUCCCAGCAUGGGGGAAGUAAAUAUCCACAGAUGUGAAUUCCCCACUGGUUUCUAAUUAUGACCUAGCAGAUUGCUUUUCUAACCCACUCUGUCCUUUCCAGCCCUCUUUAGUUGUAAUUGAAGUGAAAUAUUUUACUGUCACGUGUUUGUUAGACAUCUAUGGCAAGCUGAAAAAAUGUAAACCGGAAACACUUAGUAUAAUUAAGUAGUAAGGGGAGACAUGGGGGAAAUGCUAAUUGUGUCAGUGGAUUUUAAAUUGAGAUAGGAAUAAUCUCAUUUAAACCCAACUUCACCAUUCAUUUGAAAGCCUGUAAAUUACAGGCAAAUUAUUGGCGGUAAGUUGUGAUUUAUGUUCUGAGGGUUUUUAAUGAGAGCAAGCGAGGCAGAAAAGCACUCUUACCAAUUUGCAGCCUGGAAAAGACCAGGCUGAUUUUCCUCUCUAAGGGCUGUGUAGUUGGAGGACCACUCAAGCCUGGAGUUUGUGGUUGGCCUGGGGCAACAUAGGAAACACUCUGCCUCAAAAGAAAAAGAAGAAAAAAAAAAUCCAACAUUGACUUGUCUCCAUACCAUGGGACGUGCUGGUGGGACAGUACGUCACAAAGUGUGACAGGUGUCAUGUGGUGGGACAAUGUUUUACUCCUGCUUUGCCUGGGGUGGGGAAUGGAUCACCUCUGGAGGGCCCUUAGCCCGAGCUGAGGAGCGCCAUGAAGACUCUUUUUCCAUGCUCACACCACUGUGGUGAACUGGGCGACUGCAGGAGCUCCAGGUUGACCUCACCAAGAGUUUCUCCUGACAUUGACACCCAUGUUCUUGCCUCCUCAUCCAUCACGAUUUGUUUACAGAUACAAUUCUUCAGACUGGACUGUGACCUUGUCCCUUCCUGUGGGGAGCCGGUCUCUUGUAGUCUGGGAUAAUAAAAUCUUUUCAGCCUUUA